CCCUCCCUUACCACACACAUUAUAAAAGCUCACCCUACUCCAUGCUGCAAGGCAGCUGUGCUGAGAGGGGAUCUGAAAAAUGAAAUCUAUUCUUACUGGAAAGUUGUGUUUGACCUCCCUCAAACCUUGUGAUCUUGCCAGUUGCACAAAGAAGGACAUUUUGGACUACUUUGAGAAUACCUAUGAUUUGGAUGAAACAUUGUUUAGUGCCCUCAAAGAUGAGUCCACCUUCUACCUGUCCCCAGACCGACUCCGGCUGCCUCUGAUCUUCUACUUCUGCCAUCCUUCAGUGUUCUACAUCAAUAAACUGCUGCUCGCUGGCCUCAUAAAGGAUCAAGUGAAACCCAGUUUUGAAGCUCUCUUUGAGGCAGGAGUGGAUGAGAUGUCCUGGGAUGACACGGAGAACUAUCGACUGGGGGGAAGCUUUAACUGGCCUACGUUAUGGGAAUGCGUUGAGUACCGGAGGAAGGUACGGGACAUAGUUCACAAAGUCAUCCAGGAGACUCCAUUAGAGCUUCCAGUAACAAUGGACAGUCCUUGGUGGGCAAUUUUUAUGGGAUUUGAGCACGAGCGAAUCCAUAUAGAAACUUCAUCCGUGCUAAUUCGUCAGCUGCCAACUCACUUGGUUCAAAGGCCUCAAUAUUGGAAAUAUGCCUCCUCAAAGAGUGAUUUACAGUCAUUUGCCAACCCCCUAAUCAAAGUCUCAGCUUCCAGAGUUACUUUUGGAAAACCGAGGAAUUUCCCAUCUUAUGGCUGGGACAAUGAGUAUGGACAAAUGAUAACAGAUGUGCCAGAGUUUGAAGCCAGCAAGUACCUAACAACAAAUGGAGAAUAUUUGAAGUUUGUGCAAGAUGGAGGAUAUGAAAAGAAAAAUUACUGGACCAAGGAAGGCUGGGAAUGGAGGAAGUUCUAUCAAGCUCAGCAUCCCACGUUCUGGGUCUGUACUAAAGGGUGCAAGUCUGGGUGUGGAGCUAGCCUUGCGAGUUACUCUCAUUGUCAACCAGAUAAAGCCAACAUUAAAGCAGGUUGCACAAAUGAACCUUUCAGCAGCAGUCCGAAUGGGCACUGGAAUGGCGUCGAAAAGAUUAUUGAGGGAGAAUUACCAGAAUACAGAUACAGAGCUAUGUUUGAUAUCCUCCUGAUGCCCUGGGAUUGGCCAGUGGAAGUCAACUAUCACGAAGCGAAGGCCUUUUGUAUGUGGAAAGGCAAUGGAUAUCGGUUCCUAACUGAAGCCGAACAUCAUCGGAUUCGAUCUGGCAGUCAGAAGCCUUUGGGAGGUGAUGUUACUUCUGAUCCAAUAUUUUGUGAUGAUAUAAAGGAGAAACACAACAUCAACCUGGCUUUUGGAUCACCAACGCCUGUGACUAUGUAUCCACCCAACGAGGCAGGCUUUCAUGAUGUGUUUGGCAAUGUCUGGGAAUGGACAGAAGAUCAUUUUAAUGGGCUUCCAGGCUUUGACACCACAUACCUGUACGAUGACUUCUCCAGCCCCUGUUUUGAUGGCAAGCAUACAAUAAUUCUGGGUGGCUCUUGGAUUUCAACAGGCGAUGAGGCUUCAAGAUUCGCAAGAUUUGCUUUUAGGAGGCAUUUUUUUCAGCAUUUGGGCUUCCGCUUGACCAGAACCUGCAACAGAUUACAGACUCCAGCCAUAAUGGUGAAUGUUGAAGGAUUUGCUCCAGGGGUGGCAGAUAGAGCAGAUAACCCAAUCGCUGUCCCCAAGGAGACUGUGCUAGUGAUACCAGUUUCCAGCACUAACACUCAACUGCACUAUGAGUCAGAUGUUGCUGUGCAGGAGCAGCUGGAGUUGGAGUACGGAGACCUGAGUGAAAGUGGUUACUGCAGCCAGGUGUUUGGAGUGUGCAAGCAGGUGAUCAAGGAACAGCAGCCAUCUGGGACAACAGUUCUUGUCCUAGGCAGUGGAACUGGGCUCUUGUCAUUCAUGUUGACCCAGCUGUUUCACAAGGUCAUUGGAAUAGACUACAGUGGAAGGUUCAUUGACAUUGCGCAGCAGCUAAAAUGUACAGGACAUCAGAGUACUGAGGUCAAAGUUCCAGAGUAUUUGGACAGAGACAGGGUGGUGUUCAAACAGCUUACAUGGAUUCCUAAUGAAGUUGGACGUCAUAGUUUUAUACUUCUUGAUUUCCUUGAUCGCACCCUGAAUCCCUCAGCAAUCCCCCUCAACUCUCCCAUAAAAUAGUAAAGCCAUUUUGAGUUAGGCCUAUCUUCCCCGCAAGUCCCAGCAGAGAUUUAUCUUCCCCGCAAGUCCCGGCGGAGAUUUAUCUUCCCCGCAAGUCCCGGCAGAGAUUUAUCUUCCCCGCAAGUCCCGGCAGAGAUUUAUCUUCCCCGCAAGUCCCGGCAGAGAUUUAUCUUCCCCGCAAGUCCCGGCAGAGAUUUAUCUUCCCCGCAAGUCCCGGCAGAGAUUUAUCUUCCCCGCAAGUCCCGGCAGAGAUUUAUCUUCUCCAUGUGUCAGUACUAUUUAGAGAUUUGCUGUACUAUUUGAAUAAGUCUUCACAAAGUAAACAAAAAUGUUAUAAACUGAAAAUGCUGGAAAUCUGAAAUAAAAACUAACAAUUCAGAUCAGGCAGCUGUGGAGAAAGAAACAGAAUUAGCAUUUCUGUUUGAUGACGUCAUCAGCUCCAAGAAGAGCUGGAAAUCAACAGGUUUAAAAUUGCAGGGAAGGGAGAGAGCAAGGGAAACGUCUGCAAUAAGGUGGAGAUCAAGAGAAACCAAUGAUAAAAAUGGUGUCGGUGCUGGCUGAGAGAGGUUGGUGAAAGCUUGGUAAUCACAGCUGAUCUGUCUGGUGGAAAUGUAAAUAGAGGGAGAUAAAUGAGAAAAACGAAAGAGAAAAAGCAAUGCUGGAACUGUGGGAUACAAAACAUGAUUAACGUGAGAUAAAAGAGAACCCUGGAACUACUCGGAAGGGCAGGCAGCAUCUGCGGGGAGAGAAAAACUAAUUUAAUAUUACACGGUGACCUUUCAUUAGAACCAGUAAAUUGUGACACAAACUGAGAAAUCUGGUUAUCUGAAGUUGUUGAAUUCAGUCUUGGAUCCUGAGUGCUGUUUUGUGCCUUGUCAGAAGAUGAGAUGCUAUUCCUGGAGCUCAUGUUGGGCUUUGUUGAGAUUAAUAGGCCAAUGACAGAGAACUCAGAGUGGGAACGUGAUGGAGAAUGAAACUGACAGGCAACUGGAAUCUCAAGGUUGCCCUUGCAAACUGAACGAGGGUGUUCUGCAAAGGUCACCCAAUCUGUGAUUGGUUUCUCCUUCAUAUCGAAAAGACAGGUAAGUAAGCAGAGGGGGUGGGGUGGCUCUGUUGGUUUAAAAAAAACAAAAUCAGAUCCUUAGCAAGAAGUGACAUAGGAUCAGAAGGUGUAGAAUCCUUGUGGGUAGAGUUAAGAAAGUGCAAGCGUAAAAAGACCCUGAUGGGGAUUUUAUACAGGCCUCCGAAUGGUAGCCAGAAUGUGGGGUAAAAAUUACAACAGGAAAUAGAAAGGGCAUGUAAAAAGGGCAAUGUUACGGUAUCAUGAGUGAUUUCAAUAUGUAGGUAGAUUUGGAAAAUCACGUUGGUACUGAAUGUCAAGAGUAGGAAGUUGUAGAAUGCCUAUGAGAUGGAUUCUUAGAGUAGCGUGUGGUCGAGCCCACUAGGGAAAAGGCAAUUCUGGAUUUGGUGCUGUGCAAUGAACCAGAUUUGAUUAGGGAACUUAAGGUAAAGGAACCCUUAGGAGGCAGUGAUCAUAAUAUGAUAGAAUUCACCCUGCAGUUUGAGGGAGAAGCUAAAAUCGGAUGUAUCAGUGUUACAGUUGAGUAAAGGUAACUACAGAGGCAUGAGAGAGAGGAGCUGGCCAAAGUUGAUUGGAAGGGGACCCUAGCAGGGGUGAUGGUAGAGCAGCAAUGGCAGGAGUUUCUGAGAGUAAUUCAGAAAACACAGGAUUAGUUCAUCCCAAAGAAGCAGCAGCAUUCUAAAGGGAUGAUGAGGCAACUGUAGCUGACAAGAGAAGUCAAAAAUAGCAUAAAAGUAAAAGAGAAGGCAUACAAUAUUGCAACAAUUAGUGGGAAGCCAGAGGAUUGGAAAGCUUUUAAAGACUAACAGAAGGCAACUAAAAAAGCAAUAAGGGGAGAAAAAAUGAAAUAUGAAGGUAAACAGGCCAAUAAUAUAGAAGAGAAUACCAGAAGUUUUUUCAGAUAUAUAAAGAGUAAAAGAGAGGCAAGAAUGGACAUCAGACUGCUGGAAAAUGAUGCUGAAGAGGCAGUAAUGGGGAACAACGAAAUGACAGAUGAAAUGAAUAAGUAUUUUGCAUCAGUCUUCACUGUGGAAAACACCAGCAAUGUGCCAAAAAUCCAAGAGAGUCGGUGGCAGGAGUGUAGUCGCUAUUGCUGAGGAGAAUGUACUUGGGAAAGUGAAAGGUCUGAAGGCGGAUAAGUCACCUGGACCGGAUGGACUACACCCCAGGGUUCUGAAAGAGGUAGCUGAAGAGAUUGUGGAGGCAUUAGUAGUGAUCUUUCAAGAAUUACUAGAGUUAGAAAUGGCUCCAGAGGACUGGAAAAUCACAAAUGUCACUCCACUCUUUAAGAAGCAAGGGAGGCAACAGACAGGAAAUUCUAGGCCAGUUAGCCUGACUUCAGUGGUUGGUAAGAUACUAGAGUCCAUUACUAAGCAUGAUGCUUCAGGGUACUUGGAAGCACAUGAUAAAAUAGACCAAAGUCAGCAUGGUUUCCUUAAGGGGAAAUCUUGCCUGACAAAUCUGGUUGGAAUUCUUUAAGGAAGUAACAGAAAGAAUAAACAAAGGAGAGUCGGUGGACGUCGUUUUUCACUUGGAUUUUCAGAAGGCCUUUAGCAAGGUGCUGCACAUGAGGCUGCAAAACAAGAUAGGAGCCCAUGGUAUUACGGGAAAGGUACUAGCAUGGAUAGAGAAUUGGCUGACUGGCAGAAGGCAGAGAGUGGGAAUAAAGGGGGCCUUUUCUGGUUGGCUGCCGGUGACUAAUGGUGUCCCGCAGGGGUCGGUGUUGGGUCCACUACUUUUCACAUUAUAUGUUAAUGAUCUGGGUGACGGAAUUGAUGGCUUUGUGGCCAAGUUUGCAGAUGAUACAAAAGUAGGUGGAGGGGCAGGUAGUGUUGAGGAAGCAGGGAGUCUGCAGAAAGACUUGGAAAGGUUGGGAGAAUGGGCAAAGAAGUGGCAGAUGGAAUACAGUGUAGGGAAGUGUACGAUCGUGUACUUUGGUAGAAGGAAUAAAGGCAUAGACUAUUUUCUAAACAGGGAGAGAGUUCAGAAAUCAGAGGUACAAAAGAGACUUGGGAGUCCUAGUGCAGGAUUCCCCAAAGGUUAACUUGCAGGUUGAGUUGGUAGUAAGGAAGGCAAAUGCAAUGUUAGCAUUUAUUUCUAGAGGACUAGAAUAUAAAAGCAAGCGUGUAAUGUUGAGGCUUUAUAAGGCAUUGGUCAGACCACAUUUGGAGUAUUGUGAGUAGUUUUGGGCCCCAUAUUUAGGGAAGGAUGUGCUGGCAUUGGAGAGGGGCCAGAGGAGAUUUACGAGAAUGAUCCUGGGAAUGAAAGGGUUAAUGUGAGGAGCAUUUGAUGGCUCUGAGCCUGUAUUCACUGGAGUUUAGAAGAAUGAGUGGGGAUCUCAUUGAAACCUACCAAAUAUUGAAAGGCUUGGAUAGACGUGGAAAGGAUGUUUCCAGUAGUGGGAGAGUCUAGGACCAGAAGACACAGCCUUAGAAUAGAAGUGUGUCCCUUUAUUCUAAUAGAGGAAGAAUUUCUUUAGCCAGACGGUGGUGAAUCUGUGGAAUUCAUUGCCACAGAUGGCUGUGGAGGCCAAGUCAUUGGGUCUAUUUAAAGCGGAGGUUGAUAGUUUCUUAAGUAGAAAGGGCGCCAAAGAUUAUGGGGAGAAGGCAGGAGAAUGGUGUUGAGAGGGAAAAAUAAAUCAGCCGUGAUGAGCAGACUCGAUGGGUCAAAUGGCCUAAUUCUGCUCCUAGGUCUUAUGGUCAUAAGGGGGGAACGACAUUGUGAGCAGUGAAUGCAGUGCAUCAAAUUGGCAGUAAUACAAGUGAAUCACUUCUUCACCUGGAAGGAGUGCUUGUGUUCCUGAAUUGUGCAAAAGGAAAAGGUAAAAGGGCAGUAUUGGAUCUUGUGAGGUUGCACAGGAAAGGUGCUCUGGGGAGUGGGUUCAGCUGGAGACAGAAGAGUGAAUCAGAGCAUCACAGUGAAUGAACCUUUAGGAAUGCUGAUAGGGGACAGGAGAGGAAGAUUUGUCUGGGGAGGCAACAUAUAAGAGUAAUGGAAAUUGCAAAGGAUCUAUUGAAUUUGGGGUUAGUGGGGUGGAAGGUGAGGGAUAAGGAGAACCUUUUCGAUAUUCACGUGGGAGAAGAGGGGUGAGAGUAGAAGUGCAGGUAAUUGAAUGGAGAGGCCUGACAUGUUUAAGGAAGCAUUGGUGUAUUAGAUGUGGCCAUCAGAACAGAUGCAACACAGCCGGAGAAGCUAGAGAAAUGGAAUGAGGUUCUUACUGGAAGUGUCUUUGCAGGAGGUGCAAACAAGGUAGCUGUGGGAGUCUGUGUGAUUGAUGGAGAUUCCAGUUGCCUGAAAUUUUCCAUUCUACUCCAAAUCUGAGCCAUCUGUUCAGUCACUUGCACUUUCCCAAUGAAGCCCAUCUUAAGCUCCAGGAAAAGCAUCCCAUCUUCUGACUAGUCAUGUUACAACUCUGAGAAUCUGAGAUCGAAUUCAACAAUCAGCCUUUGUCAUUUGUAUCACAACUGGUCAGUUCUGAUGAAAGGUCAUCAACCUGUAACGAUACAUCUGUUUUUGUCUCUCCGCAGACACUGCUUGCCCUGCUGAAUAGUUCCUCCAUUCUCCUUUAGUUCAGAAUUUAGGCAGCUGCAGUCUUCUGUACUUCAGAAUUCCAGCAUUGUAUUUUCUCUUCUGUUCAGUUUUCAUUCUUCUCCCUUUUAGUUACACCUUCUUCAGAAAGAUCAGCUGCAACUAACAUGUCUUCCCCACCCUCUCUCAGCUGCCAUCACCACCAUGCGUGUCAUUCAGUCUUUCCUGGUUUCCGCCCAAUUGCAGGCAUUCCCCUAGGUUCCUCACCCAUUCUCCUAUGCAAUUUAAAACUUGCCUGAUUUCCAAUUUCAUUGAGUUGCAAUGAAAGGUUCUUGACUGGAAACAUUAAUCCUGUUUCUCUCUCCAUGGUUGCUGCCUGACCUGCUGAUUACCUCCAGCAUUUCCUGUUUUUAUUUUCCACAGUGACCUACUUUUCUGGGAAAAUUGUCCUUUUAAGCAAUACUUUAUUAUUUAUCUGUAUGGUUAUCUAUUUAUUUAUUAACUAAUUUAUUCAUUGAUUCACUUAUUUAUUUAAAGAGACUGCAAAGUAAAGAAAUUAAGAACAUAUCAUUUCAAUGUUUCAUUGCUUUACUUCUGCUGCCUAAAUAUUUAGUCAUACGGUUCAUUAUUUUGGGAUUCGUGCUGCUGCAAAUCUAAUGUGGAGGUAAGAUGGUAUUUGCAGGGUAAACAAAAUCUGUACAUUUCUGCCGAAAGCAAUGAGAUUGUUCACAGUCAACUAUGAAAAGCCUAAUCAAAAAACUACUACGAUUGGCUGCUGUGCUAUUUCGACCAGCACUUCCUAUUCCACUGGGGUAGUCUAUGAUCCAAUGGCAUGAACAGUGAAUUCUCCAAUCUUAGGUAACCUGCACCCCAUCUUUUCCUUUCUCUAUUCUGAUUGAUCCAGGUCCUCUUACACACACCAUUCAUUCCAGCCCUGUUAACCAGUUUUGUCCCCUCUCCCACCUGGUUACAUUUGCCUGUCGCCUACAUAUUCAACCCAAAUGAUCCCCUAUUCCCUCCCUCACUGUUUGUUCUCUUAUGCCUACCAUCCCUUAUCUGGUUUCACUCAUCACCUUCCUUUCUUAUCAGAUUCCAUAAUCUACAGUCCAUUGCUGCCUCCACCUAUCACCUCCCAGCCUCUGUCGCUAUCUCCAUCCAUCCCUCCCUAUCUGGCUCCAACUGCCCAUCAACCCAUCCUCACCAAGAUCCACCUAUUGCUUGUCAACUCCUGCCUCACCUCUCUCCUUUACAUUCUCAGUCCUGAUGCAGGGUCUUGACCAAAAACAUCAACUGUCCUUUGCCUCCACAGAUGCUGAGUUUCUCCAGCAGUUUGGUUUUUUUUGCUCCAAAUUCCUGCCUCUGCAGUCUCUUGUGUCUUCAAAGAUGAAAAGGGAUACACAUUUAUCACUGUUAUAUCAUGAAUUUCGCAACAACUUGGAAUUCAAUCAUGGCAUAUCAAAUCAUGGAUAGCCAUAAGCAUAAUUUGCUUUAGAAAGUGGUAAUCCUCUGCACUUCCUUCCCCUUUAAAUGAAUAUAGUCUGAUUUAUUUGUUCUGUAUUGUGGUGUAUGUGUGUAAGAUGUCUUCACAAUGGUUGCCCAAGUUAUCACUCCCUACAGUUCUGGAAAUUAACAUGCCAUUUCCUUCCCAAUGAGGUUUUCCUGAGAUGGGAAAGUAAGGAGAAAAAAUCAAUAAACGAGGCAUCAUUUUGAAGAGUCAUCCUUGGAUAACACGAUCUGCAUUUUACUGCAGUUUAUGUCACCACCUUAUGAUUUAAAGAUGAUGAGAAUACAUUUGCCAUCUGUUCAUGAAGGUGGUGUCCCUUUAAUUAGUAAAAGACAACUGCUUAAUAUUUUAUGGUAAAACAUCAAAAGUAAUAAUGUGAAUCAAAAGAUUUAGUCGUGGGUGUAAUUCCAAUGAAUUGUUCAUUAGUUUUUAAAUAUUAUAAAUGGAGAUAGUUGUAGAAUUAACAAUAAAAUAGGCACAUUCUGUUGAACAUCUCUAUCUGUGGAUCAUACAUGGGAAACUGUAUUCACAGUGCAAUUAUUCCAACCUGAUGUGAAGGGGGAUCUGAGGGAUGAUAGAAGAGAACUCUCUUAUGUGAUGGGAGAACCCCAUCAUGUCACAGGAGAACCAAUUUCCUAUACUGUGUCUACUUUCAGCCGAUGCGUUAACAUUUAAGCAGUGCAGCAGCAAGGGACUACUAAAGACAAUGAUUGUGCCGUCAUCUCCCUCCAUUGCAAUAGAUCCUUAUAAGAACAUUUAACAGAUUAUUUCCCCUUUUAUUUUUGCAUUGAUUUCCUAUGAGCUAAUUCUGGUUGGAUUUUCACUUAUUUAUUGAGAUUCCAUGUUUUAUAAGUUUCUUAUUGAAGCCUUGCUGAUGAGCUUCUUAAAUGUUAUGUAAUUACCCGAAUAUUUGAUUGACUCCAUCUCUGUUUUAUUUUCUAGGCUCUUCUAGAAUGAACCAAAAAAAAAUCAAAUAACUCAAUUUUUCAUUAGCAAAGAGAAGGCUGGGAUGACUUUUUAGAGGUGUUUAAAAUGUGAAAAUAAGAUGACAUUGUGAGAUUAGAACCUGUUAGGAAAUCCUUCACAGAUGGUCACUAAUAAGAGAGGAGCAGGAAUGUGGUUCUUGCUACCAUAUGGAAUAAUUGAGAUAAACUUAAGGGGGAAUCUUGAUAAAUAGGAGGAACAGAAGGACUUUAUCUGUAUGUUAUCUUUUAGAAGGUUACGAUAAGCAGGUUAGUGAAGGAUGGAGGCAGUCUCAUAAGGGGCCUCAGCACCAGCCUGGACCAGUUUGGCAGCAUGAUCUAUUUCUGUGAUGAAAAUUCCAAGUAAUUCCCAGUGAAAGCCAAAGACAUAAUUCAUGGUUUAUCCUAUUUCAUGAAAAAGUGAUUGAAAAACUCUUUGUUUGAGGAGGAUCAGAGUGGCAGGGGGUUACCUUUUUGUGCUUUAUUGGUCCAUUCAGGGAUGACAUGUCAUUCCAUCAAAGGCAAAUGAAGGAAUGUUUAUCAAAUACUUUUUCACAAAAGUAAUCACCUUUAAAUCUUUGAAGGCACUGCUGAAGUUCUCUCUGUUUCAAAUUUUGAUUUUGACAAGUCUAGUUGGAGACCUAAGGACAUCAUUAAGGACGAAAAGGGCAGUGGAGAAAAAGAAAUAUAUCAACUGACAGCCAAAUACUUGGCUAGCACGUUUGUCUGGUGUCGUGCAAUCAAAAGGUUUGGUUGUCAUCAUCUCAGAAAAGUGGAAAAGGAACAAUUUAUAUCAAAGAUUUCAAGAACUCAGAAAACAGUGGUUCUUUAUGGAACAAAGGGAAAUCGAAAGCAG